AUGGCUCAACUCCAGCAGCUUGUGCCUGGUGAGCCUGGGUUCUGUGGCCUGCUUUCCAGGGCUUCUGUGGAGUCUGGAAUCAGCUAAUGAGAACUGAGAUGAGCAGGAUUAUUCGAGUGUAAACAGAGUACAGCCAGCAAAAGACCCACCUGGCAGCUUGGAUGAGUUGCUUUGUGACAGCCGUGUUUCUCUCCUCCUGGGUCCACUUUGCUCCCCUAAGUUCCUACACAAACACUCCCCUCUUUCUUCACAGCCCUCAACAGGGAAGUACGCCUUUCUCAAGCUAGAACAAGUAGGCACCACAAAGCACUGCAUGGAGACAUCAGCAGACAGCCAAGGAAAGGGAAGAGAACACCUCAUGUCACCUCUGAAGCCUUGAAGUUGUGUGUAGGUGCGUUAACCUGCAUUGGCUAUUCAACAACACACCAUUCACAUGGUAUAACAAUAAAAAAAAAGUGCUAACACUCCACAGCCAGGAAGAAGGAAAACAUCUGAAGAUGUUAGGUAUUCACCCACUAGCUCUCUGUCUUAUCAGGCUCCAUUUGCUUAACAGGGAAGUAUCCAAACAUUUAAGUAUGCAAAUGUGUAAAGCCAAAUGAGACAUCAUUUCAUUCUGUUAUUGUCUUACAGUGAAAGGGAGCAAAUGAGCAAGCGGACGGAAGGACGGCUUCGUGCCAAUUAUCUUCACUACGUUGUCUUUUAUGCGAAGGUAUUGCCGAAAGCAAACCCCCACAUUCUAGCAGCAGCAGUAACAUGAAUAUUUUAGGGGCUGUGAGAUUUCUUUUGUGGGUUAUGGCUGGAAAUAAAAAUUUUAGGUUGCAAGUGCUUUGGCAAAUAUGUAAUAAACUGCCAAGGCUAAAA
rnacentral:lncRNA from 1 species